rnacentral:rRNA from 1 species
AUUGAACGCUGGCGGCAGGCCUAACACAUGCAAGUCGAGCGAGCGGUGGACGGGUGAGUAAUGUCUGGGAAACUGCCUGAUGGAGGGGGAUAACUACUGGAAACGGUAGCUAAUACCGCAUACCAUCAGAUGUGCCCAGAUGGGAUUAGCUAGUAGGUGGGGUAAUGCCUCACCUCGUCGACGAUCCUUAGCUGGUCUGAUAGGAUGACAAGCCACACUGGAACUGAGACACGGUCCAGACUCCUACGGGAGGCAGCAGUGGUGAAUAUUGCACAAUGGGCGAAAGCCUGAUGCAGCCAUGCCGCGUGUGUGAAGAAGGCCUUCGGGUUGUAAAGCACUUUCAGCGGGGAGGCGUUACCCGCAGAAGAAGCACCGGAUAAAUAAGUGCCAGCCGCCGCGGUAAUUC